AUGACAGACUUUGUGGCUUGGAGCUAUACAAAGACAGGCGUUUUUUCAGUGAGGUCUGCCUAUCAUGCAGUCUGGGAGACUAAAUUCGGGCAACAGUCACAGCAUGUGGGUAGCUCGUCCACAAUUACACCCAAUUGGGAUUCUAUCUGGUCUCUGAACUGUCAAGGGAAAGUCAAAAUUUUCACUUGGAGAGCGCUUAACAGCUCAAUACCUUGCCGAGCAAACCUGUCUGAUAGACACAUUAAAAUCUCACCACAAUGCCCAGUAUGUCAUGAUGGUCCUGAAACACUUCGACACCUCCUGUUUGCGUGCCCGGUGGCAGUGGAGGUUUGGAAAUUACUUGGUUUGAUUGAUGUGAUAAAGCAAGGUCUACUCAUGGAUAAAUCUGGAGAGAGGGUGUUGGAGUUUCUUCUGAAUCUUCCAGAGAACUACAUCCAUAUCCUGGGACUGACGAAAUUGAAGGAGACAAUUGCUACUUGCUGCUGGUACUUGUGGUGGGAAAGGAGGAAGCAUACGCAUGGGGGAAUACCGCAAAGUGCAUCCCAGGUGAGCCUAGCAGUUCGAGCGUUGGCGGCCAACUUUAUUUCGGCUAAUUCACCCAAGGCACGGGCACGUCUUGAUAGCUGGGUCAGACCGAGACGUGACUACGUCAAGCUUAAUGUGGAUGCGGGGUUUGAUGCGGACCCACUUGAAGGCUCUGUGGGAGCUGUCAUCCGAGAUCAUAAUGGCAGGUUCAUUGUAGCUGCAAAUGAAAAACUGAAUAUCUGCUAUGAUGCUUUCACGGCAGAAGCCAUUGCGAUAAGAUUUGGGUUGAAUUUGGCACGUACAGCAGGUUGCAACAAAAUUGAAGUGAAUUCGGAUAAUUUUGAAGUAAUAGCUGCACUGAAGGAGGGAUAUUCAUCUUCAGUAGCGAGUGCCAUCUUUGAUGAUUGUUUUUUUUAUGUCUUUUGA
rnacentral:rRNA from 1 species